rnacentral:rRNA from 1 species
UACGUAGGGGGCUAGCGUUGUCCGGAAUCAUUGGGCGUAAAGCGCGUGUAGGCGGUCCGGUAAGUCCGCUGUGAAAGUCGGGGGCUCAACCCUCGAAUGCCGGUGGAUACUGUCGGGCUAGAGUGCGGAAGAGGCGAGUGGAAUUCCUGGUGUAGCGGUGAAAUGCGCAGAUAUCGGGAAGAACACCCGUGGCGAAGGCGGUUCUCUGGGACGGUACUGACGCUGAGACGCGAAAGCGUGGGGAGCGAACAGG